AUACCAAUUACUUUAAAUUUAUAUUAAGAUAGUAUAAAAAAAGUAUUGAAUGAAUAAAUAUUUAGAAUUGAUGAGAGACAUAGUUGUAGGUAAAAUUUAAUUAUUUCUAUUGAUUAAAUUUUUCUAGAUAAAUUCUUUGAAAAUAAGGUAUGAAAAACUAGGAUUAGAGACCCUAUUAUUCUUUAUUUUAAAAUUUUUUAGUUACUUAGGUAGUACGAAUAUGGUUAAUAUAUUAAACCUUUUAUGUUUGUUUAAAACUUAAAAGGCUUGGCGGUGUUAUAUAUCCUUCCAGGGGAGCUUGCUUGUUAAUUUGAUAAUCCUCAAUUUAUACUUACUUUUUCUUGAAUGUAAACAGUUUGUGUAUUGCUGUCGUCAGUUUAUUUCGUAAGAAUUUGGAAAAAAACUUGACAACGUAAGGGUUACC
rnacentral:rRNA from 1 species